UCGAGAAUAUUCCACAAUGGGCGAAAGCCUGAUGGAGCGACACCGCGUGCAGGAAGAAGCCUUUCGGGGUGUAAACUGCUUUUUUAUGGGACGAACAAAUGACGGUACCAUAAGAAUAAGAGGUUGCUAACUCUGUGCCAGCAGCAGCGGUAAUACAGAGACCUCAAGCGUUAUCCGGAUUAACUGGGCGUAAAGCGUCCGCAGGUGGUUUUGUAAGUCUUUGGUUAAAUAUCACGGCUCAACCGGGAAAUCGCCAAGGGGACUGCAGAACUAGAGACUGGGAGAGGCAAGCGGAACUGCCGGUGUAGCGGUAGAAUGCGUUAAUAUCGGCAGGAACACCAAAGGCGAAGGCAGCUUGCUGGAACAGUUCUGACACUCAUGGACGAAAGCGUGGGGAGCAAAAGGG
rnacentral:rRNA from 1 species